rnacentral:rRNA from 1 species
CGAUUCUGGCUCAGGAUGAACGCUGGCGGCGUGCUUAACACAUGCAAGUCGAACGGGAUCUUCCAAGCUUGCUUGGGGGUGAGAGUGGCGAACGGGUGAGUAAUGCGUGACUGAACUGCCUGAUGGAGGGGGAUAACUACUGGAAACGGUAGCUAAUACCGCAAACGUCCAAGACCAAAGAGGGGGACCUUCGGAAAGGGUUUACCGGUAUGGGAUGGGGUCGCGUCCUAUCAGCUUGUUGGUGAGGUAAUGGCUUACCAAGGCUUCGACGGGUAGCCGGCCUGAGAGGGUGACCGGCCACAUUGGGACUGAGAUACGGCCCAGACUCCUACGGGAGGCAGCAGUGGGGAAUAUUGCACAAUGGGCGCAAGCCUGAUGCAGCGACGCCGCGUGAGGGAUGGAGGCCUUCGGGUUGUAAACCUCUUUUAUCAAGGAGCAACUGGCGGCCUUUACGCUGGUUGUUGAGUGUACUUGUUGAAUAAGCACCGGCUAACUACGUGCCAGCAGCCGCGGUAAUACGUAGGGUGCAAGCGUUAUCCGGAUUUAUUGGGCGUAAAGGGCUCGUAGGCGGUUCGUCGCGUCUAAUGUAAAUCCCCGGCGCUUAACGGUGGAUCUGCGCCGGGUACGGGCGGGCUGGAGUGCGGUAGGGGAGACUGGAAUUCCCGGUGUAACGGUGGAAUGUGUAGAUAUCGGGAAGAACACCAAUGGCGAAGGCAGGUCUCUGGGCCGUUACUGACGCUGAGGAGCGAAAGCUGUGGGGAGCGAACAGGAUUAGAUACCCUGGUAGUCCACGCCGUAAACGGUGGACGCUGGAUGUGGGGCCCUUUCCACGCGGGUUCCGUGUCGGAGCUAACGCGUUAAGCGUCCCGCCUGGGGAGUACGGCCGCAAGGCUAAAACUCAAAGAAAUUGACGGGGGCCCGCACAAGCGGCGGAGCAUGCGGAUUAAUUCGAUGCAACGCGAAGAACCUUACCUGGGCUUGACAUGUUCCCGACAGUGGCAGAGAUGUCACCUCCCUUCGGGGCGGGUUCACAGGUGGUGCAUGGUCGUCGUCAGCUCGUGUCGUGAGAUGUUGGGUUAAGUCCCGCAACGAGCGCAACCCUCGCCCCGUGUUGCCAGCAUGUUGUGGUGGGAACUCACGGGGGACCGCCGGGGUUAACUCGGAGGAAGGUGGGGAUGACGUCAGAUCAUCAUGCCCCUUACGUCCAGGGCUUCA